rnacentral:rRNA from 1 species
GAUGAACGCUGGCGGCGUGCCUAAUACAUGCAAGUCGAGCGAACAGACGAGGAGCUUGCUCCUCUGACGUUAGCGGCGGACGGGUGAGUAACACGUGGAUAACCUACCUAUAAGACUGGGAUAACUUCGGGAAACCGGAGCUAAUACCGGAUAAUCUAUUGAACCGCAUGGUUCAAUAGUGAAAGACGGCUUUGCUGUCACUUAUAGAUGGAUCCGCGCCGCAUUAGCUAGUUGGUAAGGUAACGGCUUACCAAGGCAACGAUGCGUAGCCGACCUGAGAGAGUGGUCGGCCACACUGGAACGUGGACACGGUCCAGACUCCUACGGGAGGCAGCAGUAGGGAAUCUUCCGCAAUGGGCGAAAGCUUGGCGGAGCAACGCCGCGUGAGUGAUGAAGGUCUUCGGAUCGUAAAACUCUGUUAUUAGUGAAGAACAAAUGUGUAAGUAACUAUGCACGGCUUGACGGUACCUAAUCAGAAAGCCACGGCUAACUACGUG